CGGACGGGUGCGUAACACGUGAGCAACCUACCCUGAAGUGGGGGAUAGCCUUCCGAAAGGAAGAUUAAUACCGCAUGUGAUCUCCGGAUCAAAGACGGCUUCGGCUGUCGCUUUGGGAUGGGCUCGCGGCCUAUCAGCUUGUUGGUGAGGUAAUGGCUCACCAAGGCGACGACGGGUAGCUGGUCUGAGAGGACGAUCAGCCUCACUGGAACUGAGACACGGUCCAG
rnacentral:rRNA from 1 species